GGAUGAUCAGGAAAGAGAAGGGAGUCUCACUUGGGAAUCAACUUGCCCAAGGUCCUGGCUGCCCUAGUCCUCUGCUUCCUGAGAGGGUUACACCAGACCUGUGUGACAUUGAGCUGAUUUUCCUGGUGAAGAUGCCAACGUGUGUCCUGCCACCAAGAAUGGUCCCUGUGUACUUUGAAUUCAUAAGACCCUGGGAGCCUGGGCCUUCCUCAGGCGAGAUGAUCCAGGAGCCACUGAAUACUUGAGGCCAGGAGGGCAGGGAGCUGAGGUUAGGGGCUCCGCAGAGCCUCAGGAAGCAUUUUGGAUCCACCCCUUGACCCCACUCCCAACUCCAGCCUGUGGAAACACGCACAGAAGCACUAGGAAAGCUGUGGCUUGCAGGGCCUGCUCCUUGCUCAUCUUUUGUCACCGCUUCCCCAGGCUGUACCUCAUUUAUUGACCUCCAGGAAGACCAGGCAGAUGGGCGGAUACCAAAGGAGAUCACGCUGGGGAAGCAUUUCUGAGAGGGGGCAGCCGCCCCUGCACAUACAUGGGUAUGGGUCACCUUUAUCAAAUGUCCCUACAAUGUAAAGCCACCAGCAAGGAGACCACAGCCCUUUCUUCUGCAUCCAUCAAGCGUGAGCCAGAACCUGAGUCCCUUUUCCAAGGAGCGCAUCUGUGUCACGCCGCCACCAUUCAGCCAGCACUGUUAGCUGAUCAUCCCGAGUAUGGAGUGUGUUUGCUGGUGAGAAGCCUGGCGCUUCCUGGAAAGGUCAUUUUCCUGAGAAAGUGCCCAUUUUACCUCACUUUCCAGGGGCUCACUUCCUGACCCACAGGCUCAAGACAGCUUCAGGAGGGUAGGAACCAUGUCUACAUUCAUCAAAAUGUACCUGCACCAAUGUUGGCCCAGUGCAGCCCCAAGUAAUAUGGGUUCCUGAAUCCAUUCGGCUCCCGCCUAGUGCACUGCAAGUCAGAAUGGCUCCCUCUCUGGGGACGCUCCUGUGCUUAGGAAAUCCAGGUCCUGUGGAGGGUCUAAUUCUAGGCAGGCAUCCAUCUGCUUCUGAGAGGGUUGGGACCAGAUGACUGCCAAGAUCCCUCUAGCGUAAAGCCAGCAAUUCUAGGGAAGAUGGGGCUCUGGAGGACUGGAGAGUGAAGGGAUAACCCGAGCAUGGGGUACAGGCCAGACCGGGGGGCAUGCUUGCAGAACCAUUCCAGAUGACCAGGCUCUCAGUUCCCUCUUCAGGAAAGAAAGAAAGAUAUGAACUGAGAACACAGCUCUGAGCAGGAUCUCUCUGGGCCUAAAGCUGGCCUGUCCUUAACCCUUAGCCCUUGUGCUCCAGACCCGAGAAACUCACUCCCACAGGUCUUCUAGAGGCAGGAGGAGAGGGGAGAGGGACGCAGUGCCACGGUUGCCCAGCCUGCUUCCUGCACGUCAGAGCCUUGGGUCUGGCUACACUCACUGUCACUGUGCACAGAACCCAGGUCACUGCUGGAAGGAGAUUAGCUGGGACCUGGUUGCUGACAGCACUGUUUUAUUUAUGCUGGGCCACCAAAUCCUGGCUCUGUUGUUCUGUUGUCAAGAGCAACAGGAGGAAAGACGGAUUUUUUUUUUUCUGUGUUGGGAGCUUAUGUUUUCUCCUAUAGGAUGGGCUAUAACCAGCCCAGGGCCCCAGGGUGGAGGUUUGAUGCCCUGGGUGCCCCAGUGAGGCCUUAAAGCCCAGAUCCUGGUGGUCAGUGUGGAAAAGGUGAGCUUGGUUUUGCCCCAGGCAACCUGAGGGUGGCUGGGGUGAAGGGGGCCCUGGGAGCGGGGAGCUAUCAGCUCUUCUAGGACUGGGCUCAGCUGCCCCUUUUAGUUUUGAAUGGCUACAAAAAAUUCAUGGCAGUUGCCCAAAAGCAUACAAAAUGGAGAAAGGAAGAGGAAAAAAGGAAAGAAAACAGAAAAGGAAUGUAAGAUUAGAAGAGAAAAGAAUGCGGAGGAAAUGGGAAGAGGAGAAAGGUGUUCGUGGAGAAGUGCAGUGAUGCCAUCAGCCACGUUGGGCAUCACCUGCGAAACGAACCCUAAGUAGGGUGACCCCACAGGCAGGGAUGAAAACAAUAGGGCUUCUCUUGGCAAAGGGCUUUUGCUUCCCAUUGGGAAACAGCUGCCAUCAUGGAUGGGUGAAUGGAUGGAUGCAUGGAUGGAUGCAUGGAUGAAGAGGACAAAGAUCAGUGGGAAGGGUUUGUGAGGGAUUCAAGGAAUGAAAAGGAAGAAGAAAUCAAGUGAGGAGAGAACCCAGUGUCGGGAUGAAGGACUCUCAGUUACAAUGUUGCUGCCAAGGGGUGGCUUGGGAGAACCUUCUCCCUUCCCCUUCCAAUCUCUGUUUUAAAUAAACAUGCAAUCUGAGUGAAAAAUAGUGUUUACUAUACAAACAUCCUGGAUGAAAAUUCCCCAGCCUCUGCCUCCCCCAGCUUUACCUCCCCAGUCCUCCUGCAGGGAAUCUCCAGAGGUGCUGCUGGUCAGCUGCAAGGCAUUGUGUCUGGUUUCACCUAAUCACUCCCCAGACCAAGUGAAUUAGCCUGUGGACAGACAGGUGAGGGCCUGAAACAGGAUUAGAGGAGGCGGGGAAAAUAAGCUUCAGAUUAGUUUGAGAAUAGGAAGAGUUAAAGAGCCUUAAGCCUUCCAGUCCCUCCUACUCAGGGAUUUGGAGCAUUAAUUACUCUAACAAUAGCAAAUCAUUGAGUGGAUUGUCUCUUCUCUCCCUUCAGUAAAAAAUGUUGAGUAUAGGCUUAUUCCCAGGAAGGCUAAGUGGGAAUGGUUCCUUAGGGUCAGAGUCAAGGGUUAAGGGUCAAAGGGCAACACCCUCUAAGCCUUGAACCAAUAGUAGGGGUGGCUGGCACAGGAGUGAGCAAUGCUUCUUUCACAGAAAGUCUUUAUCAGAAACCAGAGCUGCAGAGAGGGACACUCUGAGUCAGAUUUCAACAGCUACCCUUGGUGGGGGCAGGUCAGAGGAGGUGUCAGUAGGAACUGCAGGGAAGGGGAGCCAUUCUUAGGCCUCCACUGCCCCUGGGGUCUAUUGACUCACUCAGGAAUCCCAGGGCCUCCUGGGCAGAUCCAGUCCUACAACCUGCCUGGGUGUGUUCUCCGCUAAAUCAUGGCUGUCUUUCAUGUCAAGUAACAGGGAAACACUGGCCUUUUCUCUAAAAAAGAUGCAAUGUUAUGUUCAAGCCUAUGUAAGAAAAGAGGAGGUCUGAUUCCCAAGGAAAUCUAAACCUCAUCUGAGAUCUUGGAAGGAGCCUAGCGGGAGAGGGGCUAAUCCAGGAGUAGUGGUCUUGGAGGCUCUGGCACUGAGUCCCACUGUGAGCAUUAUACAUGGGUCAAGGGUGAAGUGAAAUUCUAGGAAAAGACAUCAGCGCUGGAGAGUGAAAAGGCUUGUCAUACUACACUCCUCAAAGGGGCCUUAUGUGUUCAUUUGACCAAGGAGAAGACAAAGGUGCAGAAAUGACCCAGGAAGGCAAGGAAGUUGAAUGAGUUUCACAGAAGGGUGGAAGGCAUUCAUCUUCCCUCUCUCAGGACAGAGCUGGGGGUGCCGGGCUGAGGAGUUACAUGUUCAUUUUAAUGAUCUUCACUGUGGCCUAAAGUCUUUCAGUGCAGACUGCCACUGACUCCUGUUCUUUUUGCUCAUGGAUCCCUUCCACCAUACCUUUGGUUUCCAUGUCUAAACCUGUUUCUGCCAGGGGAGGUAGCAGUGUCUAGCUCUUUCUAACUUGCUUUCUUGACCUCAGGACUACCUUUAAAUAACUCCAUAAUUUUUUAAAAAUCAUGACUUUUACCCAUUUAUUAUUUAAAAAUUUUAACAUUUUUCUUUAUACAUGCUAUUUAUCUGUUUUUCUAGUUUAAAAAUAAAAAUAAGUUUUCUCCAGGGAUCCUGUUGUAGGAGGGGAAAAAGCACUUUGAAUGUUAAGCCCUACUGGUCUGGGGAAAAUGUUGAGUAACUUGUAUGAAUUUGACCUUGACUAUGAUCCUCAACUGAUGGUCAUCUCUAUCAGUUGAAGAUUACCUGUGGCAAUCCUAGCCCUCACCAGGGGGUAUCUAUUACUAAGAUCUGGCGGGGAGGGACUUGGAUUACUUGAGGAGGCAUAACAGCUAAGCCAGGAAUUGUAGUGUGGGACUAGAAGAUAGAAAAAAAGGUAAAGGAUGGGGAGGGAGCACUAUUUGCCCUAGAAUACUGAUGUGGUGCAGCUUACUGAAUUUGAGCUUCUGAUUUGCUGGGCCCUAAAUAGUAGAGGCUAGGCCAAGAGCAGACUGAGGAUGGAGACAGUAAAGGGAUCUCCUACGGUCAUACAACUAGUGGGCAGCGGAUUGUUCACAUUUAGGGGCAGUAUCAGUAACUCCGUAGUAUCAGUCAGGUGGGAAAAAGAGAAUUUAGUGAGGAGAUUAUUUGGUAGGGUUUGGGCAAGGUUUAGGGGAACUAACAAAGGGUGGUGUGAGACUGUAGGUUUGAUAAAACAGAGGCGGUAUUACCAUCCCAAAGUCUGAAGGGUAAAGAAUAGUGACUAGAACCCAGAGAGAGUUCCUGUAAGGAGAGAGCUGCCUGACAGGACUUGUGCCAUUUGGUGGAGAGACAAAACCGAUCCACAGUAAUUUGGAAGGGUAGGCAAAAGGGGAAUAAAUGAUCCUCUUGCCUCCCAGUUCCCUGCUGUUACCUCCUUUGCCUGAGAAGAACUGGAAACCAGAGUCAAAAGAAGCCUUGUUGAUGCGGUAUAGACAGGUCAGUCCCCGGGAUACAGGGCAGGGUGGAGGGGGGAGUGUAGAUCUGGAGGAGCAAAUGGAAGUGAUCCAGCUACCUGAGAAAAUAGGUGGUAUCUUUUUUAGUAGCCUCCACAUUUAUUCUUCUUUUUUCUACAUUGGCAUACCUGUUCCCACAUGGCUUUCAGAUGCUAGGAUUUUUCUGACGUCUCCUUAUACCCUGGAGCCCCUGGCGAAGUCAGUAGUGUCUAGUUUUUGGGUUCGCCCUCUUUUGCUACUAUUUCUUUAUCAUAAUUAGUUCUUAAGAUUUUUGCUUCUGGUCAUGACAGAGCAACAGGAACCAGAUUUACCCUCCCACUACAAACAACUAGAAAAUGAGACAAAAGUACCGAUGGCUUCAGAUACUGCACAACAGGCAGCAUAAGACUGUGAUUGCUGAGAUAAAGGAAGUGAAUUAAGUGAGCCCUAUGAUCACCCCCAUUUCUGAUUGGAGAUAAAUUCAAGACUGUCUAGCAGAGAGAGGCAUGCCACACAGAGUAAGGUUGAAAGAUAGAAAGUGAAGGUCAAAGACACCCUGGAUGGAAGUCGUAUGGUAGAGUUCUAGAAAAGAGAUCUAUGUAGAAAAAGCCCCAGAAAUCUGCACAAUAUUUCUUAGUACUAAGAUGUACACACAGAAUAAAGCUCCAUAAGGCUGGGCAAAGAAUGACUAGAAACUAUGAGAUGAAUAGUUCAUAAGGUUACAUGGAACUGAGAAAUGUUCAAAUAUCAACCAGCUUGAUACUCAGGGCAUUUAGUAGAGACCCCAUAAUGGUCAUCCCUAUCUAGUAGGAGUAAAUUAUCCCUAGAGAAAAAGAAACUUUAGACUCACUCUAACAAAGCUUAAAACAAGCCCCUAAAGGAUCAAUCUUACCCAUAAGUAACCUGACAACCAGAUAAAAGCCCAACACUCUCUGAAGGAAAAUAACAAGACACUAACAAUCAACAAUGUAACUUUGAAAAUAUCCAACAUCCAAUCAAAAAUCACUAGACUCUCCAGGUAGCAGGAAAAUGUGACUCAUAACCCAGGGAAAACUCAGUCAAUAGAAACAGACUUGAAAUUGAUGGAGUUGAGAAAAUGAGCAGAAUCAACACAGCUAUUACAAAAUAUGUGCUCAAGAAUUUAAAGAAAAACAUGACUUAAUGAGGAAACAAUGGAAGAUAUAUUUUAAAAUAAUCAAAUGGAACUUCUAGUAAUGAAAAAUAUAAUAUCUGAAAUGAAAUGUAAGUGAUAUUUAAAGCAAACUGGACAAUACAGAGAACAAACAAGUGAAAUUGAAAAUGUAGCAAAAGAAACUAUCCCAGUGAAACACGGGGAG